UUUGUUUAACAGAAGUUUAAAAUUUUAAUGUACUUAUCAUAAUUUAAAUUAAGAAAUCAUUCCUUACUCUAUUCAUCUAAAAGUUUAUAAUUUUGCUUUUCUUUAUAUAUCUAUUCACCUAAAACUGAUUUAUGUGUAUGGGAUGAGUUUUUUUUUUUUUUAAGAUUUAUUUAUUCAUGAGAGACACAGAGAGAGGCAGAGACAGGCAGAAGGAGUAGCAGACUCCCCGUGGGAAGCUUGAUGCGAGACUCGAUUCCAGGACCCUGAGAUCACAACCUGAGCCACCCUAUAUACAAUAUAAUGGCUCAACGAUAUUAUACAUUUCUCGGUGUUCAUCAAGGCAAUCUGCAGUGGCAAGUAACUAAAGCAAACAGAAAAGCUCUGACUGAGAAGAGGACCAACCUGGAGCCCCUGAACACAUGGCACUCUUGCCUCUCUGCCAGUUGCCAGUACUGGCACCAAAAGGGGUUCCCACAGUGGGGAGCUUGAAAAUCACUUUCUAAAGACUUGAGGAUGAUGGGUUAACAAGCCUCUGGUGGAAUUUGUAUUUAAGCAAGAAUAUGAUUCCAAACAUUUUUUUCUUGGUAACUUCAACACAGGAUAUAGGAAACCAAAGCUUAGUCUUUAUAAACAUUCUGUUUUAAAAUAUAUUACAAAGAAUAAAUGGAAUUGAAUGUCAAGAAUGACAUUCUCAAGGACCUCACUGCACGGAAGGAAAAUGCUGAUAAGGAUCACAUUAAACAUGUUGCGACCAGCUAGCUCACUGGAUAGGAUUUUUCUAUCUAGUUUGCAAAAGCAAUGAAUGGCCAAUUUGCCUAUAAACUAUCAGAUGCAAUACAAAACUGAAGAGACCUGGAAAGUGAAAAGUGAAGGAAAACAAGGAGUAGAGAAGAGAAAUGGCAUACCUUGGAGACAUUGAGGGUUCAAUUCCAGACCACAGCAAUAAAGUGAAUAUUGCAAUAAGGCAAGAAAAACAAAUUUUUACUUUCUCAGUGCACAUAAAAGUUAUGUUUACACUGUAGUCUAUUAACUGUGCAAUUGUAUUACGUCUAAAAAUGUGCAUACCUUAAUUUAAAAAUACUUAAUUGUAUUAUGUCUAAAAAAUGUGCAUACCUUAAUUAAAAAAUAAUUGACUGCUAAAAAAUGCUAACUAUUAGCUG